GCCCUUGGAAGCCCAGAAUGAGUUCUUACAUGGUGAGGAUCAGCUAGGGAACGAAGCAACUGUGCCCUUGGGAACCCGGACUGAGGAGCUCCUUCUUGAUGAUCCUGACGAUUUUUCCCCACACAGGAAAAAAUCAAUGCAAGAAAACUAAGUUCUGACAUCGCAGCGGGAAAUAAGAUUGAAAUCGCCGCUACAUCAAACAAAGGGCUUCCGAAUUCACGACGCGGGAAUUUACCGCGUCGAUCAAGCAAAUUUCAUUGCAGAGUUUCGCGCACCCUAACGAAUUUUCUGAACUGUAUACUCGGUAUUUCCUGUGGACAAUAAGAAAAACACGUAGGUCGGACUCGAACCCACGACCUCCUGAUUACAAAAAAAAAAGCAGCUGUAAAAAAAGGGUUUUCACAGUCCGGUUUUCACAGGAGUCUUAUUAUCGGGUUAAUCUCUCGCACGUGACCAGUCACUCUCCUAUAAUUACUGACGUAGUAGGCGCAAUACCAAUGAGUCGGAUAUUCACACUGCACCUGAAACUAGUGCAAAGCGGGUGUUGAACAAUUGGGCGCUAGUAAUCAGAGGUGCGUGCGCGUGUAUGAUUAUUGAAGUCACAAGACGAACUUGAUAAACCAAUCCAUUUAGCCCCGCCCAUGGUUUUGGCCAAUCACGGUGGUUGAUAAUCCAAAAUACACACGCGCUUGUGACGCGCGCGGCUCGAACAUGCGCAGGGUGGCAUGUGGGUGGUGCUAGCUCAUGCUGACCACGUGCGAAAUGGGCGUGACCUAACGUGAACGGUACAUAAAUUUGUAUUCAAGCGAUGUCUGAAAAAUCGGUACCAGCAGAUUUCACUUUGACUUGCGAAAAAGCAUAUUAUUAAAUUUGACCGAGCGAAUUAUGGAUGAUUGACAUGUGCUUAAAAUUGGGCGAUGGUUGAAGAUCUGCAGUACUACUUUUAUGUUAAGUUUUCUUGUUUAAAAUUGUUUAAAAUUUGUUUGGAAGUCCUGCAAUAUUUUUGCUAUGAAAUCAAAUCAGCUUCAACAUGAAAAUGAGCAUAACAAAAGAACAUACACAAUGUAUAUAACUGCCAGUUGACAAUUACCUUUUUAUUUUUCAAAAAAUAAACAAGGAAUAAUAUGAUUGCAUCUAAGAAACGAGCAAAAACAAAUGAUAUUUAUAAACGAUUCCUGAAAGAACUAAAUGAAAAUGGUGUACUAUAACCUUAUACGAACAGACACAAUUUUUAAAUAACCCAGUACAAAAGCGCAUAAUUGUAGGUUAAAAUUUGCUACAUAUUUAACAAGGUUCAAGGCUUGGAUAUUGCAGUCUCACCAAGUCAUGAAUAUGCACGUUUUGCGGUCAGGUGAUCGUGCAUGUUGAAUAUGCAUGAAUGAUCCUUUCAAAUGCAAAGUCAGUUUUUAAUGUAUGUUUUUGUGUGCAAAUCACCCAGUACAAAAGCGCAUACUUGUAGGUGAAAAUUAGCCAGAUAUUAACAUGGUUCACUGCUUGGAUAUUACAGUCUCACCAAGUCAUGAAUAUGCAUGUUUGCGGUCAGGUGAUCGUGCAUGUUGAAUAUGCAUGAAUGAUCCUUUCAAAUGCAAAGUCACUGCUUUUAUGAAUGUACAAUGUAUGUGUAUGUGCAGCAGCAAAGCCCAGUUUUAUAAGGAUUAUAAAUCAAAUCAAUAUUGAUUUUAAUUUAACAAAUGUAUCAUUUCAAAUCUGGAUAAACUUGGAAGUGAUGAAUCAAACUCGCAAAAUCUUCAGUAUUAUAUAUAUUAUACAUUGUAUAAUGUAUAGUUGUUUUCUGCAACGGUUACAGAUUUCUGGAAGAUGUGUUUCAUCACAGAUCUUACUAUAAACAUAUCAUUUCAAAUCUGGAUAAACUUCAAACUUGGUAAAGAUGUAUCGAACUCGCAAAAUCUUCAGUGCAAUAAAUGUUAUACAUUGUAUAACUAUUUUCUGCAAUCUUACAGCAUAACCUCAACAGGGUAGACUGGGCACAAUGUAUUCGUGCACAUAUUCAAUGGGAUCACAAAUUAACAGUGAACGAAUAAAGAAAAUUGACUUGGUAUACGAAA
rnacentral:lncRNA from 1 species